AACUUUUAACAACGGAUCUCUUGGUUCUCGCAUCGAUGAAGAACGUAGCAAAGUGCGAUAACUAGUGUGAAUUGCAUAUUCAGUGAAUCAUCGAGUCUUUGAACGCAUCUUGCGCUCAUUGGUAUUCCAAUGAGCACGCCUGUUUCAGUAUCA
rnacentral:rRNA from 2 species